AACACAUGCAAGUCGAACGAACCUUCGGGUGAGUGGCGGACGGGUGAGUAACGCGUGGGAAUCUGCCCUCAGGAGGGGGAUAACGACUGGAAACGGUCGCUAAUACCCCAUAUGCCGAGAGGUGAAAUGAAUUUCGCCUGAGGAUGAGCCCGCGUCUGAUUAGCUAGUUGGUGGGGUAAGAGCCUACCAAGGCGACGAUCAGUAGCUGGUCUGAGAGGAUGAUCAGCCACACUGGGACUGAGACACGGCCCAGACUCCUACGGGAGGCAGCAGUGGGGAAUUUUCCGCAAUGGGCGAAAGCCUGACGGAGCAACGCCGCGUGAGGGAUGAAGGCCUCUGGGCUGUAAACCUCUUUUCUCAAGGAAGAAGAUCUGACGGUACUUGAGGAAUAAGCCACGGCUAAUUCCGUGCCAGCAGCCGCGGUAAUACGGGAGUGGCAAGCGUUAUCCGGAAUCAUUGGGCGUAAAGCGUCCGCAGGUGGCUUUGUAAGUCUGCCGUUAAAGCGUGGAGCUUAACUCCAUUUCAGCGGUGGAAACUACAAAGCUUGAGUGUGGUAGGGGCAGAGGGAAUUCCCGGUGUAGCGGUGAAAUGCGUAGAUAUCGGGAAGAACACCAGUGGCGAAGGCGCUCUGCUGGGCCAUAACUGACACUCAUGGACGAAAGCCAGGGGAGCGAAAGGGAUUAGAUACCCCUGUAGUCCUGGCCGUAAACGAUGAACACUAGGCGUCGGGGGAAUCGACCCCCUCGGUGUCGUAGCCAACGCGUUAAGUGUUCCGCCUGGGGAGUACGCACGCAAGUGUGAAACUCAAAGGAAUUGACGGGGGCCCGCACAAGCGGUGGAGUAUGUGGUUUAAUUCGAUGCAACGCGAAGAACCUUACCAGGGUUUGACAUCCUGCGAACCCCUGAGAAAUCGGGGGGUGCCUUCGGGAACGCAGUGACAGGUGGUGCAUGGCUGUCGUCAGCUCGUGUCGUGAGAUGUUGGGUUAAGUCCCGCAACGAGCGCAACCCACGUCUUUAGUUGCCAGCAUUCAGUUGGGCACUCUAGAGAGACCGCCGGUGAUAAACCGGAGGAAGGUGUGGAUGACGUCAAGUCAUCAUGCCCCUUACAUCCUGGGCUACACACGUACUACAAUGCUACGGACAAAGGGCAGCGAACUCGCGAGGGCAAGCAAAUCCCAUAAACCGUGGCUCAGUUCAGAUCGUAGGCUGCAACUCGCCUACGUGAAGGAGGAAUCGCUAGUAAUCGCAGGUCAGCAUACUGCGGUGAAUACGUUCCCGGGCCUUGUACACACCGCCCGUCACACCAUGGAAGUUAGCCACGCCCGAAGUCGUUACUCCAACCCUUGUGGAGGAGGAUGCCGAAGGUGGGGCUGAUGACUGGGGUGAAGUCGGAACAAGGUA
rnacentral:rRNA from 1 species